UGACCUACGGGUGGCAGCAGUGAGGAAUAUUGCGCAAUGGGCGAAAGCCUGACGCAGCGACGCCGCGUGGGUGAGGAAGGCCUUCGGGUCGUAAAGCCCUUUUCUGCGUGACGAGAGAGGACGGUAGCGCAGGAACAAGUCUCGGCUAACUACGUGCCAGCAGCCGCGGUAAAACGUAGGAGGCGAGCGUUAUCCGGAGUUACUGGGCGUCAAGAGCGUGUAGGCGGGUGUGCAAGUGUGGCGUGAAAGCGCCCGGAUAAACUUGGAGAGUGCGCUGAAGACUGCAGAGCUAGAGGCGAGUAGAGGGACGUGGAAUUCCGGGUGUAGUGGUGAAAUGCGUAGAGAUCCGGAGGAACACCAGUGGCGAAGGCGACGUCCUGGGCUUGACCUGACGCUGAGACGCGACAGCACGGGGAGCGAACGGGAUUAGAUACCCCGGUAGUCU
rnacentral:rRNA from 1 species